CUGUUGGGCCUUACCUAUGAAAAGAUGACAUCAAGCGGCUAUUCUAGUUAUAACAACAAAGAGCUUAAAGAUGAAUUGGAGGAAAUAUGCUUCAUGGGAUGAGAUGCAUAUCUUCAGAUACCAUGGUACCUUGGGUUACAGACGCUUCAGGUUGCACACGCUUCAGGUUACAAACUCCGCUAACCCAGAAAUAGUACCUCGGAUUAAGAACUUUGCUUCAGGAUGAGAACAGAAAUCUCACAGCAGCGGUGCAGUGGCAGCGGGAGGCCCCAUUAACUAAAGUGGUACCUCAGGUUAAGAACGGUUUCAGGUUAAGAAUGAACCUCCAAAACGAAUUAAGUUCUUAACCCGAGGUCCCACUGUAGUAUGUAUCUCAACAACCCAUAUACUAGAUACAGUGUUUUCUUUUCACAGAAAGUGUAACUUGUUGGGGGUGCAGACCUAAUUAGUGUCCGUACUCAGAACAUAUCCUUCAGGUGUGUCAAUAGUGUAUCAAAUAGCUUGCUCCAGAACUGGAUCUAGCAACGUUACUGGUGUGUACAAAGAAUAUACAAGUACUAUCUAAGAAAUGGUUGGUGGUAAUUGUGGUUUAAAUGGUAUCUUUGGUGCCAUAAAUCACCUUGAAAUCUUUAUGCUUUCAAAGAAAACUGGUAGAUGAAAAUAGGACACCUUUUUUCAGGCAGUCAUUCCAUGGAACAGCCUAAUAUGCCUUUCCUCUGUGUAGACUUGAUAUUUCUAACCUCUGAACCUUGUUAGAAAAAUUUAUUUCUACUUGAUCAAAUUAAUAAUGGAAUCACAAGAGAGGCAUUUGAGAGGCAAUGUACCUGCCACAGUCCUAAUGAAACUCAUAUCUGCCUGGUUGCUUAAAUUUAGACAUUUUUAUGCCAUUUCAUUAUUAAAAGAAUAAGAUUCCAAAGCCAGAGCUUAAUUUCUUCCUUAGUUCAAUCAAUUAUGUUUAUAAUACCAAAAGAGUUAGUAUUUGAUAACUUUAGUCAUUCAGAUUAAAGAAUUCUUUCAGCAAUGACUCCAUACAGGACACCAGGAAACCAGAGUUAUUUACUUGUUUUAUUAAUGGAGGAAAGACCAACACUCAGUUUUAAGAAGUUGUGAAGUUCCACAUGUCUUAAGGAAAAUUCAGCUUGCAGAAUUCAUACAAAGAAACAUACAAAGCCAAGCUUGUCUUCAUUGUUCCACCCACUUUAGGUUUUCCCAACUUCUAAAGAAAAAAUAUUGAUUCCUUAAUGGGACUCCCGAGCCUGUAGCUCUCAGACGAGUUUCAUAACCCCAAAGCCAUUCUUGAAGCCAGGGAGAACAUACGAUAUGUACUGUAACAGCAGAGAAGGGAUCUGGAAUAGAGCUCCCUAGACAUCUGUCUGUUGGAACAGUCAACAUAGAAGAACAACAUCUGGAUUCAAACAUUAUAUUAAGCACAUUACAUGUGAUGAACUGCAUUGGUGUAUAGCUCAACUAUUUGUGUACACAUGUACAGAGAUUGCACACUUGUUAAAGGUAACAUGUGAGCCCUCCUAGAAACUGGGAUGAAACCAGCCAACACAUGCAGCAUGGAAAUAUUUUGUCCAUCUCUACUUGUCAGCAUAGGCUGAGGUGGGGGAGGGGAAACCCACAAGAAUCUCAAUUUAAAAGCUUAGCAAUAAAUGAUUUGGCACCUCACAUCAUGCAAAAACCUGACACAGAAACCUGAAGUUGACUUUCACAACAUGGGAUGUGAGCAGAAGCACUGAAAUGAAAAGCAAUAUGCUGGCGCCAGUGGAGCCUGGCAGUUUUUAUUAUCGCUGACUUUCAAACUGGUAGAGAAUUUUGCCUACAUGAUGAAAUGACAAUUCAAAGCAAACUUUGGAAUAGGGUAUAUUCAGACUCUGAGGUGAAACAAAUCAUGGGAAUUUGAGCAAAGGCUAUUUCCUGCCGCAUGCAGAGUGAACAUUUGAAACCAUUAAAGGUUCACAAGCUGCCAUUGAUGGAGGAACCAUCAAAGUACACGGCAAGUGAAAGAGUAAUCUCAGCUGCCCUACUUUCCCCCAAGGUGACCGAAAGGCCACCAAUCAAUAUUUGAUGGUAUUUGACAAUAAAGAUGC